GGACACAGGUCACAAAUUUUGAGAAGCAUUUCAUUUAUUGAAGGUUAUAUCAAUAAGGUGCUUUAAAUUCUUUUGGAUGAAUGCAAGAUGUAAAAACAGUGCAAAGAUGAGAACCAUUCAGAAUCAAAUCUCCAUCCUCCAGCAUCCUGUUGUUACUCUGCACCCAGCCAGGCAUCUAGUACAUCUCUCACUUGAGGGACUCUGCACAGGGA
rnacentral:lncRNA from 1 species